AGAUCCAGACACCUCCAGCUGACUCGCUUCAGGAGGAAUGGACUUUAGAAACGGGAGACGUCUGGAGCUGCACCGGCCGCACAUGCAUGCUAGUGCAUGUGAAUCCCUUGUGUGAAAACUGUUUGUGAGGUUCUAAAUGUGAAGAGUUUGCCACCGGCCAGGAACCUGGAUACUACUCCUUCUUCACCAAUUAUUACAACACCACCGUGGUCUCCUUCUUCAGCGCCAUCACCAACUGGUUGAAGUAGACUUUAUAGGAACUUAUUAACAAAGCAUUCAUCAAAGAAUCAAAAAUCAUAACUCCUCAAUCAACCAAUCAAUCAUUGAGAGUUAUCCGAGCUAUUGAUUGACCCAUCACCAUUCAUCAUCUUCUGUCUAUUGUCUUCGUUUUUUCCCACCAUAUAAUUGGACAUUUUCCCAAUUACUUUAUGUUGACCUUUCACCUUUCACUACCUUUUUCUCUAUUGUUUUAAUUUUUUUCCCCACCGUAUAUUCUGCAUUUAUUGUCAAGGAUUGUCAAGCAUUCAUUGAACUACCUUGCAUCAUCUUAAAUGUUCAAUGAAGGACAAAUGUGUUGCCCUGUUGGACAUCCACUGCGCCAUAUUGUUUCAUGUUAGCAACCCCCAUUCCUUCUCAUUGGCUCAGACUAAAGCCUGCCCCUCUGGAUUUAUUGGCUCAGGUUCAGGUUCAUUUCAUAAAAAUGCUGGCCUCGUCCAAUAUCAAUAUUUCCUAACGAUAGGGUUGAGAUUCAACCAUAAGGACCAGCAAACUACAACAAUGAGCUGAGCGCAACAAAGAGCUGCAGAACUGGGAUUUGAUUCUCAGCGGGAUUAUUGUUGUUGUUUUCAAAUUAUACGUUAAGUCACUUGAAAGCUCCUUUGUGCAACCAAGAGCUCAGAAGUUGUUUUUCCUAAAUACUAACUGGCAGCAUAUGGUCCACCCAAGGUGGCUGAAACCAACCUCAGUGAGUUUCUGAGAUGACAGAUGACCUUGAUAUGGGAAGGAGUGUUAAAGCUGUACUCUGUAGUCUGUGUUCAUUGAUCUUCAAUGUUCUUGCUGAGCGUCUAUUUCUCAAUUUCGCCAUGUCAGUAUUUGUGAAAGAUGUACAGCAAUGCACUUGUUAGACUCCUGUUCCCAUAAUCCCUUAACAUCCUCCUAGCUUGCAGAGCCAGAGGCCAUUUGUGGAGUAAAUGUUGUAAAGUCUACUGGCUAAUGACAUAAAAGUAUACACAAGCAUACCCGAGGUCCUCCUGUAGCACUGUGCUGGAAUAAGGUAGAGCACUUACGCACCUUCAGCGUCCACCAGAGAGACUUGAUGUUCAGACUAGCUUUAAUUUUAGGGAUGGUUAGAAGGUGUUGCAUAAGAAGUUCAGUUAAAUCCUCAUUUUCCACGCUGUUACCACUCUCAGGAUGUCUAUAUUCAGCCCUACAAUAUAAUGUAGGCAAUCAACAGUUUGAAGAGGUCUACCUC